rnacentral:rRNA from 16 species
AGGUUAAGUUAACAAGGGCGCAUGGUGAAUGCCUUGGCACUAGGAGCCGAUGAAGGACGGGACUAACACCGAUAUGCUUCGGGGAGCUGUACGUAAGCUAUGAUCCGGAGAUUUCCGAAUGGGGCAACCCAGCAGUUUUAAUCAACUGUUACCACUAGAUGAAUUCAUAGUCUAGUUGGAGGUAAACGCUGUGAACUGAAACAUCUCAUUAGCAGCAGGAAUAUAAAGAAAUUUCGAUUCCCUAAGUAGCGGCGAGCGAACGGGGAACAGCCCAAACCAAAGUGCUUGCACUUUGGGGUUGUAGGACUGAACAUUUGAGUUACCAAAGAACUUGAUAGUCGAAGGAUUUGGGAAAAUCCGCCAUAGAUGGUGAUAGCCCAGUAGAUUAAAUCAAAUUCUCUCAGUUCAGGAUCCUGAGUACGGCGGAACACGUGAAAUUCCGUCGGAAUCCGGGAGGACCAUCUCCCAAGGCUAAAUACUACCUAGUGACCGAUAGUGAACCAGUACCGUGAGGGAAAGGUGAAAAGCACCCCGGGAGGGGAGUGAAAUAGUUCCUGAAACCAUGUGCCUACAAUAAGUCAGAGCGCGUUAAUGCGUGAUGGCGUGCCUUUUGUAGAAUGAACCGGCGAGUUAUGAUCCCGUGCAAGGUUAAGACUAAAAAGUCGGAGCCGUAGCGAAAGCGAGUCUGAAAUGGGCGUUUUGAGUACGAGGUUAUAGACCCGAAACCAGGUGACCUAUCCAUGUCCAGGUUGAAGGUGCGGUAAAACGCACUGGAGGACCGAACCCGUGUAAGUUGAAAAUUGCUGGGAUGAGGUGUGGAUAGCGGUGAAAUUCCAAACGAACUUGGAGAUAGCUGGUUCUCUCCGAAAUAGCUUUAGGGCUAGCCUCGGAAUUAGGAUCAUGGAGGUAGAGCACUAUUUGGACUAGGGGCCCGUCUUGGGUUACUGAAUUCAGAUAAACUCCGAAUGCCAUUGAUUCAUAUCCGGGAGUCAGACGAUGAGUGAUAAGAUCCACCGUCGAAAGGGGAACAGCCCAGACCAUCAGUUAAGGUCCCUAAAUGUAUGCUAAGUGGAAAAGGAUGUGGAGUUGCAUAGACAACUAGGAUGUUGGCUCAGAAGCAGCCACCAUUUAAAGAGUGCGUAAUAGCUCACUAGUCGAGUGAUCCUGCGCCGAAAAUGUACCGGGGCUAAGCAUACUACCGAAACCAUGGAUGCGACCAUUAGGUCGCGUGAUAGGAGAGCGUUCUAAGGGCGGUGAAGCAAGAUCGUGAGGACUUGUGGAGCGCUUAGAAGUGAGAAUGCCGGUAUGAGUAGCGAAAGAUAGGUGAGAAUCCUAUCCACCGAAUGACUAAGGUUUCCUGGGGAAGGCUCGUCCUCCCAGGGUUAGUCGGGACCUAAGUCGAGGCCGAGAGGCGUAGACGAUGGAUAACAGGUUGAGAUUCCUGUACUAGUUAAGUGCGUUUGAGCAAUGGAGGGACGCAGGAGGCUAAGAUGUGCAUUCUGUUGGAUUAGAAUGUCCAAGCAGUAAGUCUUGUGAAGAGUCAAAUGCUUUUCACUUUAAGGACAAGCUGUGAUGGGGAGCGAAAUUUAGUAGCGAAGCGUCUGAUGUCACACUGCCGAGAAAAGCUUCUAGUGAGUACUUAACUACCCGUACCGCAAACCGACACAGGUAGUCGAGGAGAGAAUCCUAAGGUGAGCGAGUGAACUCUCGUUAAGGAACUCGGCAAAAUGACCCCGUAACUUCGGGAGAAGGGGUGCUGAUCGCAAGAUCAGCCGCAGUGAAUAGGCCCAGGCGACUGUUUAUCAAAAACACAGGUCUCUGCAAAAUCGUAAGAUGACGUAUAGGGGCUGACGCCUGCCCGGUGCUGGAAGGUUAAAAGGAUGGGUUAGCUUCGGCGAAGCUCAGAAUUGAAGCCCCAGUAAACGGCGGCCGUAACUAUAACGGUCCUAAGGUAGCGAAAUUCCUUGUCGGGUAAGUUCCGACCCGCACGAAAGGCGUAACGAUCUGGGCACUGUCUCAACGAGAGACUCGGUGAAAUUAUAUUGUCCGUGAAGAUGCGGACUACCCGCGACAGGACGGAAAGACCCCAUGGAGCUUUACUGUAGCUUGAUAUUGAGUGUUUGUACAGCUUGUACAGGAUAGGUAGGAGCCAUAGAAACCGGAACGCUAGUUUCGGUGGAGGCGUUGGUGGGAUACUACCCUCGCUGUAUGACCACUCUAACCCGCACCACUAAUCGUGGUGGGAGACAGUGUCAGGUGGGCAGUUUGACUGGGGCGGUCGCCUCCUAAAAAGUAACGGAGGCGCCCAAAGGUUCCCUCAGAAUGGUUGGAAAUCAUUCGCAGAGUGUAAAGGCACAAGGGAGCUUGACUGCGAGACAGACAGGUCGAGCAGGGACGAAAGUCGGGCUUAGUGAUCCGGUGGUACCGUAUGGAAGGGCCAUCGCUCAACGGAUAAAAGCUACCCUGGGGAUAACAGGCUUAUCUCCCCCAAGAGUCCACAUCGACGGGGAGGUUUGGCACCUCGAUGUCGGCUCAUCGCAUCCUGGGGCUGUAGUCGGUCCCAAGGGUUGGGCUGUUCGCCCAUUAAAGCGGUACGCGAGCUGGGUUCAGAACGUCGUGAGACAGUUCGGUCCCUAUCCGUCGCGGGCGUAGGAAAUUUGAGAGGACCUGUCCUUAGUACGAGAGGACCGGGAUGGACAUACCUCUGGUGUACCAGUUGUGCCGCCAGGCGCAUCGCUGGGUAGCUACGUAUGGAUGUGAUAAACGCUGAAAGCAUCUAAGUGUGAAACACACCUCGAGAUGAGAUUUCCCAUUCCUUUAUGGAAGUAAGACCCCUGAAAGAUGAUCAGGUAGAUAGGUUAGAAGUGGCAGUGCGGUGACGCAUGAAGCGGACUAAUACUAAUCGGUCGAGGACUUAACCAAG